GUGCUCCCAUUGACAGCACAUAUACUAAAACUAGAAUGAUACAGAGAAUAUUAGCAUGGCCCCUGUGCAAGGAAGACAUACAAAUCUGUGAAGUGUUCAUAUUUUUA